AGUGAACGCUGGCGGUAGGCCUAACACAUGCAAGUCGAACGGCAGCACAGUAAGAGCUUGCUCUUACGGGUGGCGAGUGGCGGACGGGUGAGGAAUACAUCGGAAUCUACUUUUUCGUGGGGGAUAGCGUAGGGAAACUUACGCUAAUACCGCAUACAACCUACGGGUGAAAGCAGGGGAUCUUCGGACCUUGCGCGAUUGAAUGAGCCGAUGUCGGAUUAGCUAGUUGGCGGGGUAAAGGCCCACCAAGGCGACGAUCCGUAGCUGGUCUGAGAGGAUGAUCAGCCACACUGGAACUGAGACACGGUCCAGACUCCUACGGGAGGCAGCAGUGGGGAAUAUUGGACAAUGGGCGCAAGCCUGAUCCAGCCAUACCGCGUGGGUGAAGAAGGCCUUCGGGUUGUAAAGCCCUUUUGUUGGGAAAGAAAAGCAGCAGGUUAAUACCCCGCUGUUCUGACGGUACCCAAAGAAUAAGCACCGGCUAACUUCGUG
rnacentral:rRNA from 1 species